CACUGGCAAAAUCCGAUCCCUGCCUCCUCGUGGCGCUGCCGGAUGUCGGAUUUGAUGAGGCUCGUCAACUCGAUCAAUCCUAACCAAAGGGACGG
rnacentral:ribozyme from 1 species